AGCUAUUUGAUCUUAAGCAGUGAAUUGUUGGAACAGCAAUGUAUUUAAGAGUAUUCUAUACUUUUAAACUUUUUCUAUUUUGGAAGUAGAAUGGAAAGUCAGAUGCUUUUCCUUUGUUUUCACAAUAACCACAAAAAGAAACAGAACCACCGUGAUAUACUGCUUCUCUGAGGUUUACUUCCCCUUUGUGAACCCAUGAGGACUACAAAAUUAACUUGGUGGGGGUGAGGGCCAUGGGGUGGGGUAGGGAGGAAGCUUCAGAGAAGCAGAGUGUCAAAUCCAUGAUUAUAACAUGUUUACAUGUAGCAACUUUUUAUAUAGCAUAAAAAUUCAAAGCCAGUCUCAAUUUAGAAUGUCACGUCCCAGAAUAUGUUAGUUGUUUGGAAAUCAGAAUUCAUUCUCCCAUAGACUCUCUCUCAUGAGAUCCAAGGCUAGUUUAGGAAAAUAAAUUUACCCCGUACUAUGUGCAAACACUGCUCUGAGACUAGGACUCAUUAUAGGUUCGAAGAGUGAAAAAGUGAGAAAACGUGCAUAGCUCUUUACCUACAAUUUUGUAAGAGGGUUUUAGCCCUUUCCCAUCAUCUAUUCUGUAGCCUACCCCGAGGCCCAUAUUGGUCUCAGCUCACCUUGAUACUUCCCAGAGGUAUUUGCUGUUGUCAAGAGGACAUCGCCGGAGACAAAUAAUCUCUAACAAAUAGGACUUCAGGUCACAAUGACGUCCGUCUUCUCCAGGAGUGGAGAGGAAAGGGAAAUAAUUAGGGACCCUCGGUAGAUGAGUGGUCCCUUCCCUGUUUGGCCCCUCACACACUUCCAGUGUCUGGGCUUCUGCCUCUCUCCCUCUCUUCCUUCACUCCAUCUCUCCCAAGGUCUCUGAAAGACCAAGGUCAAGACAGCCUUUGUGGCAAAAACAGUCAUGACCAUGUCUUUACUGAUCUAAGCAGAAUAAGAUUUUGCACGUCACUUUCAGUUGCCUGUAUUUACUGCCCAAAGUGUGUUACCCUACGACUGAGAUGUACUCUCUUUUUCUAAUAUUUUGGUAAAGUGUGCAUCAUGAAAAUACCUAGAAAAUUCAAAGUGUUUAGGAAUUCCUGACAGCCAAGUAGACCACACGCAUCAUCAGAUUUCUCCUUGCCAUGAGGACAUAGGUUUGAUGGAGGGCCAGCGUCUCGCCUAGCUCUUGCCUCUCCUGAUUAGCUUCUAAAAAUGCUUAGGCUGCUUCCUUACACCGUGUUGCCAUCUCUCCCCUUAUGAUUAUUUUCUAGCCUCCUCCAUCAAUAUACAACUAGGGCACUUUCUACUAUCUUUACGCUAUGUAAUGACCAAGGCAGAUGCUAACCUAUAUUAUGGCUCAGAUUAAAUUAUUUUCAAACAUGACAGAAUAUUAACAUAAUUCAAAAGCACCUUUAAAUGGAAACUUCUUGGUACAGUGUCACCAGGCUUUUAGUUCUUGUUGUUUCAAGGUUUAUACAGAGCCCGUUGAGACCAUCAAGUAGCCUUCACUGCAAGAACGUAAUGCAAUUAUAUGACAGAGAUCCCUGACUUUCCCCAAAUACAUCACAGGGCUGCUUCUGCAAGAAGGUUUUCUUUCUCAGAAAAGAAAAUCCAUUUGUGUCCGCCCCAUCAGACUAAGCAGAGUGAAGACCUUAGUUUGGAGCCGGUAACAAUUGCAAGAGGUUACAGACGACAGGGAGGAGGUGACAUUUGUUGAAUGCCACCGUGACCGGAGACCUGAACCUACAUUACCCUUUAGCUCUCAUGAUAACCUUGUCAAACAGGUUCUGUUUUCCUCAUUUUUUUCAGAUGAGGACACAGACCCAGAGAGGUUGAGAUAUUUGCCCAAGAUCACCAGUAAAUGGCAACGUUGGUUGCAAAAGAGGUGUUCCUGAAUUCAAAGGCCAUGCUCUGUCUACAAUACAAUGCUCUAAGGACACAGAGUGAAUACAUGAGUGUUGCCAGGAAUUAAACAGUGAAAAUGAGUUGAAAGUAUUUAAUCGAUGUCCCAUAUCUGCAAUCCUAGGAGGAUUUUUUCAAAUAGGGUUUUAAAAAUGUGUUCGUUCAUAGAAAGAUCACACAUAAUAUAAUGUUUUGGGGUUCAUAGAAAGAUCUC